rnacentral:lncRNA from 1 species
UAUUUUAAUUAGUGUAUUUAAAAUAAUAAGACAAACGGCUGCGUUUUAGACCAAAUCCUUUUUGGUCUAAAGGUUAAGAAGACCAAUUAUUAUUAUUUUGUUUUAAAAUUAUAUUUAUUAAUGUAUAUCUUUAAAUCAUAUUUCUUAUUGCAUAUGCGAAAUAGUCAAUUUUUAUUGUAGUUUAUAGUUCAAUAGUAGUAAAGAUAAUCUGUAAAUGAUAUUUAUUGUAAUAUAUGUCAUAUUAUAAUAAUAUGUACUCUAAUACAGAUAACUAUGCUGUAUAUUUGUAUUCAUCUUAAUAUUGCAUUAUGAUAGUUUGCCGACUCUAUUAUAUAUUUUUCAUCUUACGCUGAUGCGUAAUAAUACACAAAAACUUACCAAACUUCUCAAAAAAGACGGCACUUUUUAGUACCAAACAAAUUUUCACAUAAAUUAUUAAUUAAAAAUAUUAAAUUAAAUAAAAAAUAGCUACAAAAAAUUAAAAUGCUAAUUUUAACGACGAUAACGCUUCCAACGAAACCUUAAACCCUAAAUUUUAAAUUCUAAAUCCUAUACCCUAAAUUAUAAACCCAAAUCCAAACCCCUAAACCCAAACCCUAUACUCUAAACCCUAAUCCUAGACCCUAAACCCAAACCCUAUAUCCUAAACCCUAAUCCUAGACCCUAAACCCAAAUUAUAUACCUUAAACCCAAAAAAUAGACUAUAAACCUAAACUCUAUACCCUAAACCCAAAUCUUAGACCCUA